UACGUAGGGUGCAAGCGUUGUCCGGAAUUAUUGGGCGUAAAGGGCUCGUAGGCGGUCCGUCACGUCGGGAGUGAAAACUUGGGGCUUAACCCCAAGCCUGCUUCCGAUACGGGCGGACUAGAGGUAGGCAGGGGAGAACAGAAUUCCUGGUGUAGCGGUGAAAUGCGCAGAUAUCAGGAGGAACACCGGUGGCGAAGGCGGUUCUCUGGGCCUUACCUGACGCUGAGGAGCGAAAGCGUGGGGAGCAAACAGG
rnacentral:rRNA from 1 species